rnacentral:rRNA from 1 species
AUGAACGCUAGCGACAGGCUUAACACAUGCAAGUCGAGGGGCAGCACAGGUAGCAAUACCGGGUGGCGACCGGCGCACGGGUGAGUAACGCGUAUGCAACUUACCUAUCAGAGGGGGAUAACCCGGCGAAAGUCGGACUAAUACCGCAUGAAGCAGGGGCCCCGCAUGGGGAUAUUUGCUAAAGAUUCAUCGCUGAUAGAUAGGCAUGCGUUCCAUUAGGCAGUUGGCGGGGUAACGGCCCACCAAACCGACGAUGGAUAGGGGUUCUGAGAGGAAGGUCCCCCACAUUGGUACUGAGACACGGACCAAACUCCUACGGGAGGCAGCAGUGAGGAAUAUUGGUCAAUGGCCGAGAGGCUGAACCAGCCAAGUCGCGUGAGGGAUGAAGGUUCUAUGGAUCGUAAACCUCUUUUAUAAGGGAAUAAAGUGCGGGACGUGUCCCGUUUUGUAUGUACCUUAUGAAUAAGGAUCGGCUAACUCCGUGCCAGCAGCCGCGGUAAUACGGAGGAUCCGAGCGUUAUCCGGAUUUAUUGGGUUUAAAGGGUGCGUAGGCGGCCUUUUAAGUCAGCGGUGAAAGUCUGUGGCUCAACCAUAGAAUUGCCGUUGAAACUGGGGGGCUUGAGUAUGUUUGAGGCAGGCGGAAUGCGUGGUGUAGCGGUGAAAUGCAUAGAUAUCACGCAGAACCCCGAUUGCGAAGGCAGCCUGCCAAGCCAUGACUGACGCUGAUGCACGAAAGCGUGGGGAUCAAACAGGAUUAGAUACCCUGGUAGUCCACGCAGUAAACGAUGAUCACUAGCUGUUUGCGAUACACUGUAAGCGGCACAGCGAAAGCGUUAAGUGAUCCACCUGGGGAGUACGCCGGCAACGGUGAAACUCAAAGGAAUUGACGGGGGCCCGCACAAGCGGAGGAACAUGUGGUUUAAUUCGAUGAUACGCGAGGAACCUUACCCGGGUUUGAACGCAUUCGGACCGAGGUGGAAACACCUUUUCUAGCAAUAGCCGUUUGCGAGGUGCUGCAUGGUUGUCGUCAGCUCGUGCCGUGAGGUGUCGGCUUAAGUGCCAUAACGAGCGCAACCCCUAUGGACAGUUACUAACGGGUGAAGCCGAGGACUCUGUCUAGACUGCCGGCGCAAGCCGCGAGGAAGGUGGGGAUGACGUCAAAUCAGCACGGCCCUUACAUCCGGGGCGACACACGUGUUACAAUGGCGUGGACAAAGGGAAGCCACCUGGCGACAGGGAGCGAAUCCCCAAACCACGUCUCAGUUCGGAUCGGAGUCUGCAACCCGACUCCGUGAAGCUGGAUUCGCUAGUAAUCGCGCAUCAGCCAUGGCGCGGUGAAUACGUUCCCGGGCCUUGUACACACCGCCCGUCAAGCCAUGGGAGCCGGGGGUACCUGAAGUCCGUAACCGCGAGGAUCGGCCUAGGGUAAAACUGGUGACUGGGGCU